rfam:Enterocytozoon bieneusi H348 ctg01_2738, whole genome shotgun sequence.
CACGAGAUUCCCACUGUCCCUGCUCACAGAUUUGCGAACCUACAGCCAAGGGAACGGGCUUGGGACAUGCAGCGGGGAAAGAAGACCCUGUUGAGCUUGACUCUAGCCAAGCACAGGCCUCUGUGACUAUAUCGUAGCGAGGUGGGAGAAAUGUGUGAGACCACUGACAUAGUCGGCGGGGGCACUCGCAAAGCUUGGUGGGGAGUUUGGCUGGGGCGGCACGACUACUAAAACAUAACGUAGACGUCCAAAGGUAAGCUCCGAGGGGAUGGAAACCACUCCGAGAGUAUAAGGGCAAAAGCUUGCUUUAGUUAUUAAUGUAAAUUAAUAAUACUGGAAACAGGGGCCUAGAGAUCCUCUAUGAAACUAAGCAUAGAGGUGACGGAAAAGUUACCACAGGGAUAACUGGCUUGUGGCGGCCGAGCGUCCAUAGCGACGCCGCUUUUUGAUUCUUCGAUGUCCGCUCUUCCGAGCAUGGUGGAAUAUCAGCCACCAAGUGUGUGAUUGUUCACCAACUAACAGGGAACGUGAGCUGGGUUUAGACCGUCGCGAGACAGGUUAGUUUUACCCUACUGCAUCGCGUCCGAAAGUAAGUCGGGGCAGUACCAGAGGAAGUGCCGAUCAGAACCGCUGGUGAUACUUUCGUCUGUUAAAGCGCGAAGUGUAACUACCUUCUUCUUAUAUAGCUGAAACCUCUAAGCUAGAUGAGUACUUAAGACGCAAGAAUGAAACUACUUGUAGGAUGAGGUUGUCGAUAUAACUCUGCAGAUUUAACCACUAUUCUUUUUAACAGCUGCCGGAACUACAGAUCCGGGAAGGAAAUUUUUUUUUGCCGUCG